GGAGAUGUUAACAACCAGCUUGAAGGCCAGUCCCCUCAUCCUGCCCUGACUCAGCCAUUGGUCAUAUUCCUUGAGGAGUAGAUGCAAAAGUCCGUGUCAAUUAUUAAUCCGCAGAAAUCAUGAUGCUUCAAAUGUGUGUUUGAGGAAGCGCCUGCUGCACACCAGGCUGCCCGUGGAAGAUGCAGAGCCUUCUGCAAAGGUCAUGUGGAGAAGCCAACACCCAGCACCAAACACAAGCAUGGAGCUGAUUGUCUUCCUAAACCCUAAACCCAACAAUUCUCUUCUCCUGACGAAGAAACCCUAAAUCGACUCCCUCCCUGAAGAGCA